rnacentral:rRNA from 1 species
ACAAGUCACGACAGACGGUCCCGGAUAUGAUCUCGGACUGACGCCCGGUGCCGGUGGCGGAGUGUCCAAUUGGGUCGGUGGGGUGUACGAACGGAGCUUUGCCAGUCCGAAUCUUAGUUGGGAAACGGAACGGAAGUUGAAUGUUGGGUUGGAUGUCGGCUUGUGGGAAGGCAGGAUUGAUUUUUCUGUCGACUAUUUUAGUAACCGUAGAAAAGAUAUUCUGAUUCAGCGGCAGACCAUUUCCGCUGUUACGGGUUUCCGGACCGGGAUGUAUCAGAAUUUCGGUAUUACGACGAAUAAAGGGGUGGAUGCAAAUCUCAUUUUCCGACAUCAGUGGGGACCGGUCGGUCUUUCUGCUCGCGGAAAUGUAACGUAUGCAAGGAAUGAAAUCAUUGAAUGUGAUGAAAUUACUCCUAAAUAUGGUUGGAUGUCACAAGUGGGAACCUCUAUUGGUCAGCAAUCUCUUUAUAUUGCGGAGGGGCUGUAUACUCCGGAUGACUUUGAUGUGACGGAAAGGGGAGACGGUUCCCGGACUUAUCAAUUGAGGGAAGGAUUGCCGAAACCUUCGGCAAAUGUGGCUCCGGGUGAUAUCAAGUAUAGGGACUUGAACAAGGAUGGCAUUAUCGAUUCCUACGAUAAGACCUACGACAGCGGAUUUUACUCUACGGGUAUAAGGGGGCGUCAAAGCUUACCAAGAGAUAUCAAACUCCGAAUGCCGCAUAAAUGAUGUACGGGAGUCAGACUGCACGAGAUAAGUUGGGUAGUCAAAAGGGAAAGAGCCCAGACCUACAGCUAAGGUCCCAAAGUGUGUGUUAAGUGGAAAAGGAUGUGGGAUUUCGAAGACAACUAGGAUGUUGGCUCAGAAGCAGCCACACAUUAAAAGAGUGCGUAAUAGCUCACUAGUCGAGAGGUCCUGCGCCGAAAAUGUCCGGGGCUAAAACACAACACCGAAGCUUAGGAAUUCUUUUGAAUUGGUAGAGGAGCAUUGAAGACGGAACGAAGCCAUACCGAAAGGAAUGGUGGACUGUCUUGAAGAGAGAAUGCCGGAAUGAGUAGCGAGAUUGAAGUGAGAAUCUUCAAGGCCGAAUAUCUAAGGUUUCCAGGGUAAAGCUGAUCUGCCCUGGGUAAGUCGGGGCCUAAGGCAAGGUCGAAAGACGUAGUCGAUGGAUAACAGGUUGAAAUUCCUGUACUGCAUCAAAUCAGAAAUGUGGGGACACAUGAGGGAAGCAUGAGCCGGAAAAGGAAAGUCCGGUACAAGCGCAGCAGAGGACAGAUAGGCAAAACCGUCUGUCAACUCAAGGGCGCGAUGUGGAGCGAACCAAAGUAGCGAAGCAUGUGGAGCUUGUGUCGAGAAAAGCCGCUAUAGUGUUUGAUGUACCCGUACCGUAAACCGACACAGGUGGAUGAGGAGAGAAUCCUAAGGCCGGCGGGAGAAGCAUUGUUAAGGAACUCGGCAAAAUGACCCCGUAACUUCGGGAGAAGGGGUGCUCCAGAGAUGGAGCCGCAGAGAACUGGCCCAAGCAACUGUUUAGCAAAAACACAGGUCUAUGCAAAACCGAAAGGUGAGGUAUAUGGGCUGACGCCUGCCCGGUGCUGGAAGGUUAAGAGGAGAUGUUAAUCGCAAGGUGAAGCAUUGAAUUUAAGCCCCAGUAAACGGCGGCCGUAACUAUAACGGUCCUAAGGUAGCGAAAUUCCUUGUCGGGUAAGUUC